GGUUAAGUGACUAAGCGUACACGGUGGAUGCCUGGGCAGUCAGAGGCGAUGAAGGACGUACUAACUUGCGAUAAGCGCAGAUAAGGCAGUAAGAGCCGUUUGAGUCUGCGAUUUCCGAAUGGGGAAACCCAACUGCAUAAGCAGUUACUGUUAACUGAAUACAUAGGUUAACAGAGCAAACCGGGGGAACUGAAACAUCUAAGUACCCCGAGGAGAAGAAAUCAACCGAGAUUCCGGUAGUAGCGGCGAGCGAACCUGGAUUAGCCCUUAAGCACUCGGUGAAGUAGGUGAACAAGCUGGAAAGCUUGGCGAUACAGGGUGAUAGCCCCGUAACCGACGCUUCAUCGAGCGUGAAAUCGAGUAGGGCGGGACACGUGAUAUCCUGUCUGAAUAUGGGGGGACCAUCCUCCAAGGCUAAAUACUCCUGACUGACCGAUAGUGAACCAGUACCGUGAGGGAAAGGCGAAAAGAACCCCUGUGAGGGGAGUGAAAUAGAACCUGAAACCGUGUACGUACAAGCAGUAGGAGCACCUUCGUGGUGUGACUGCGUACCUUUUGUAUAAUGGGUCAGCGACUUAUAUUCAGUGGCAAGGUUAACCGUAUAGGGGAGCCGUAGCGAAAGCGAGUCUUAACUGGGCGCUCAGUCUCUGGAUAUAGACCCGAAACCGGGUGAUCUAGCCAUGGGCAGGUUGAAGGUUGAGUAACAUCAACUGGAGGACCGAACCGACUAAUGUUGAAAAAUUAGCGGAUGACUUGUGGCUAGGGGUGAAAGGCCAAUCAAACUCGGAGAUAGCUGGUUCUCCCCGAAAGCUAUUUAGGUAGCGCCUCGGACGAAUACUACUGGGGGUAGAGCACUGUUAAGGCUAGGGGGUCAUCCCGACUUACCAACCCUUUGCAAACUCCGAAUACCAGUAAGUACUAUCCGGGAGACACACGGCGGGUGCUAACGUCCGUCGUGGAGAGGGAAACAACCCAGACCGCCAGCUAAGGUCCCAAAGUAUUGCUAAGUGGGAAACGAUGUGGGAAGGCUCAGACAGCUAGGAUGUUGGCUUAGAAGCAGCCAUCAUUUAAAGAAAGCGUAAUAGCUCACUAGUCGAGUCGGCCUGCGCGGAAGAUGUAACGGGGCUAAGCAAUACACCGAAGCUGCGGCAAUGUCUUUUAGACAUUGGGUAGGGGAGCGUUCUGUAAGCCGUUGAAGGUGAAUCGUAAGGUUUGCUGGAGGUAUCAGAAGUGCGAAUGCUGACAUGAGUAACGACAAAGGGGGUGAAAAACCUCCUCGCCGGAAGACCAAGGGUUCCUGUCCAACGUUAAUCGGGGCAGGGUGAGUCGACCCCUAAGGUGAGGCCGAAAGGCGUAAUCGAUGGGAAACGGGUUAAUAUUCCCGUACUUCUGACUAUUGCGAUGGGGGGACGGAGAAGGCUAGGUGGGCCAGGCGACGGUUGUCCUGGUUCAAGUGCGUAGGCUUGAGAGUUAGGUAAAUCCGGCUCUCUUUAAGGCUGAGACACGACGUCGAGCUGCUACGGCAGUGAAGUCAUUGAUGCCAUGCUUCCAGGAAAAGCCUCUAAGCUUCAGAUAGUCAGGAAUCGUACCCCAAACCGACACAGGUGGUCGGGUAGAGAAUACCAAGGCGCUUGAGAGAACUCGGGUGAAGGAACUAGGCAAAAUGGUACCGUAACUUCGGGAGAAGGUACGCUCUUGAUGGUGAAGUCCCUCGCGGAUGGAGCUGACGAGAGUCGCAGAUACCAGGUGGCUGCAACUGUUUAUUAAAAACACAGCACUGUGCAAAAUCGCAAGAUGACGUAUACGGUGUGACGCCUGCCCGGUGCCGGAAGGUUAAUUGAUGGGGUUAGCGCAAGCGAAGCUCUUGAUCGAAGCCCCGGUAAACGGCGGCCGUAACUAUAACGGUCCUAAGGUAGCGAAAUUCCUUGUCGGGUAAGUUCCGACCUGCACGAAUGGCGUAAUGAUGGCCACGCUGUCUCCACCCGAGACUCAGUGAAAUUGAAAUCGCUGUGAAGAUGCAGUGUACCCGCGGCUAGACGGAAAGACCCCGUGAACCUUUACUACAGCUUGGCACUGAACAUUGAACCUACAUGUGUAGGAUAGGUGGGAGGCUAUGAAGACGUGACGCCAGUUGCGUUGGAGCCGUCCUUGAAAUACCACCCUUGUAUGU
rnacentral:rRNA from 1 species